rnacentral:tRNA from 1 species
UGGCUCAGAGGGUAAGAGCACUGGCUGCUUUUCCAGAGGUCCUGAGUUCAAUUCUCAG